AUACGGAGGAUGCAAGCGUUGUUCGGAAUCACUGGGCGUAAAGCGCGCGCAGGCGGUCUUUUAAGUUGGAUGUGAAAGCCUACGGCUCAACCGUAGAACUGCAUCCAAAACUAUUAGACUAGAGUGUGCGAGAGGAAGAUGGAAUUAGUUGUGUAGGGGUAAAAUCCGUAGAGAUAACUAGGAAUACCAAAAGCGAAGGCAAUCUUCUGGAACACUACUGACGCUGAGGCGCGAAGGCGUGGGGAGCAAACAGAAUUAGAAACCCCAGUAGUCC
rnacentral:rRNA from 1 species